rnacentral:rRNA from 1 species
GAUGAACGCUGGCGGCGUGCCUAAUACAUGCAAGUCGAGCGAACAGAUACGGAGCUUGCUCCUUUGACGUUAGCGGCGGACGGGUGAGUCACACGUGGAUAACCUACCUAUAAGACUGGGAUAACUUCGGGAAACCGGAGCUAAUACCGGAUAACAUAUUGAACCGCAUGGUUCAAUAGUGAAAGGCGGCUUUGCUGUCACUUAUAGAUGGAUCCGCGCCGUAUUAGCUAGUUGGUAAGGUAACGGCUUACCAAGGCAACGAUACGUAGCCGACCUGAGAGGGGGGUCGGCGACACUGGAACGUAGACACGGUCCAGACUCCUACGGGAGGCAGCAGUAGGGAAUCUUCCGCAAUGGGCGAAAGCCUGACGGAGCAACGCCGCGUGAGUGAUGAAGGUCUUCGGAUCGUAAAACUCUGUUAUCAGGGAAGAACAAAUGUGUAAGUAACUGUGCACAUCUUGACGGUACCUGAUCAGAAAGCCACGGCUAACUACGUG